rnacentral:rRNA from 1 species
CUACGUGCCAGCAGCCGCGGUAAUACGUAGGGUGCAAGCGUUAAUCGGAAUUACUGGGCGUAAAGCGAGCGCAGACGGUUACUUAAGCAGGAUGUGAAAUCCCCGGGCUCAACCUGGGAACUGCGUUCUGAACUGGGUGACUAGAGUGUGUCAGAGGGAGGUAGAAUUCCACGUGUAGCAGUGAAAUGCGUAGAGAUGUGGAGGAAUACCGAUGGCGAAGGCAGCCUCCUGGGAUAACACUGACGUUCAUGCUCGAAAGCGUGGGUAGCAAACAGGAUUAGAUACCCUGGUAGUCCACGCCCUAAACGAUGUCAAUUAGCUGUUGGGCAACUUGAUUGCUUAGUAGCGUAGCUAACGCGUGAAAUUGACCGCCUGGGGAGUACGGUCGCAAGAUUAAAACUCAAAGGAAUUGACGGGGACCCGCACAAGCGGUGGAUGAUGUGGAUUAAUUCGAUGCAACGCGAAGAACCUUACCKGUCUUGACAU